AUGCCGCGUGGAGGAACAUAAGGCCCACGGGUUGUAAACUCUUUUCUCGGAGAAGAAGCAAUGACGGUAUCUGAGGAAUAAGCAUCGGCUAACUCUGUGCCAGCAGCCGCGGUAAGACAGAGGAUGCAAGCGUUAUCCGGAAUGAUUGGGCGUAAAGCGUCUGUAGGUGGCUUUUCAAGUCCACCGUCAAAUCCCAGGGCUUAACCCUGGACAGGCGGUGGAAACUACCAAGCUAGAGUACGUUAGGGGCAGAGGGAAUUUCCGGUGGAACGGUCCAAAUGUAUUGAGAUCGGAAAGAACGCCAACAGCGAAAGGCACUCUGCUGGGGCGAUACUGACACUGAGAGACGAAAGCUAGGGGAGCAAAUGGGAUUAGUGACCCCACUAGUCCUAGCCGUAAACGAUGGAUACUAAGUGUUUGUGCGGAUCCACCCGUACAGUGCUGUAGCUAACGACGUUAAGUAUCCCGCCKKGGGAGUACGUUCGCAAAGAAUAGAAACUACAAAGGUAAUUGACGGGGGCCCGCACAAGCGGUGGAGCAWSYGGUUUAAUUCGAUUCAGAGCGAAGAACCUUACCAGGGCUUGACAUGCCGUGAAUCUUCUUGAAAGAGAGGAGUGCCUUCGUGAACAGCGGAGGAACGCGGACACAGGUGGUGCAUGGCUGUCGUCAGUUCGUGCCGUAAGGUGUUGGGUUCAGUCUCGCAACGAGCGCAACCCUCGUGUUUAGUUGCCAUGAUUUAGUUUGGAACCCUGAACAGACUGCUGGUGAUAAGCCGGGCAAGAAAAGAGUAGUUUUGGAUGUAGUGAGAAAUGUGUUUGGUGAUUUGGAUGUUGGGAUUUCGGCGAAAGUACCGUAUUUGGGUUUACGGCGUGGAAUGAGAAUUUGUGCUGCGGAAUUAACUGCGGGAUUUUAUAAUACGGUGAAUAGG
rnacentral:rRNA from 1 species